GGAAAGAUUAAUAGUGAGUUAAUGCCACACUAGAAUUUGCACUCAAAAUGCCUGAGUUGCUAUACUACUCUCUAGCUACCUACCACUGAAGGCUUCCAUUUAGAACUCCACAUUGUAUAUUGUAUGUAUAAACUAGCAGUGUAUAUAUAAACUAGUUCAACAGCAUUGUAUAUAUAAACUAGUUCAAACUACUAUAGAAUGCACAUGAAAAAGUCAUAAUAAUAGGUAAUAAAAUGUUUUCAUUUCAAGAUACAUUUUUCUAGUUUUAUAUAUAGUUUUUUCCAUAGUUCUGUGUAACUAAAUUUAUUUAUUUAUUUAUUUAUUUAUAGAGAUGGGGGGUCUUGCUAUGUUGCCCAGUACAGUUUUGAACUCCUGGCCUCAAGCUAUCCUGCCUCCUCAGCCUCCACAAUAGCUGAGGUUUCAAGCAUGAGAUACUGUGCCUGGUCUGAGUAACCAAUUAAUGCCUACAAUAAAACUCCUGAAUGAAUAUUGGAACUACAGGAAUUCCCCAGAAUCAUUGCAUCCCUGCCCUGUGCUGUCUUCCCAUUAUGACGUUUCUUUCUGCUAUCGAAGAGAGCUGACUGCACCAGAUUAUGCAGAGAAUAAAUAGGCCCCCAGACUUCCCUGGAGUGGUCCACGGGGCAAUGCUAUUCAGAAACACUGGCUGAUUGUAACAAUUGUGGCCUCUUCUCCUACAACAGUGAUGCUCUUAGCUGCUCAUGUUUCUCAAGACAACAAUGUUGACUUUGGAACCUGUGAUCUCUCUGGUCACAUACUACACUACAGACCAGCCACCUGAACUUGGAAGCACAGCUGAACUGGAAGAAAACUGCUGGAGACUUUGCUUAUUUCAUAGUAUAUAUAAUGAAUAGGAAAUAUAAAGAUAUUCUUUAAGUUAAAUUAGUUUUGUCCUCUAUUUUCCUGAAUAUACUAUCUUCUGAGCUUCUGGACUGGGCUGCCUUUCAGUCUCCAUUAGCUUGUGGUUGCUUUCCUAGAGAAGCUGGGAGCCCUUUGGGCUUUGCCAGGGCAGGAGCUUCUCAGAGUGCUUUCAGAAUGUGGUGCUUACCCAGUGCUAAGAUCUAGAAUAUAUUCACCCAGCACACUUCCACUUUCCUGUCCCCACAGCCUAAGGCAGGGGAUGAGGGAGUUUGGAAUGGAAGGUUGGGCCUCGGGAAGUUCUCUUCUUCUUAGCAAGUAAGGAGUGAUGCAACCACUCAAUCGUCUACAGGGUAUGACUCAAUGGAGGAAAUUGUAACUCUUCCCUCCAGAUGCUUCUCACCCCAGGCCCUUAGAGCUGCCUGCUAUUACUCAGGGUGAUAAGCAGCACCAUGUUCCCAAAUUCCACCAGGUUUCAAACAUUCAAUGAUCUACAGUUUCUUAUUAUGAAUACUGUUGAAUUAAGAUCUCUGAGAUACAGAACACUACAUAACACGGUUGCGGGUUAGAGGUGCCGAACAUGUCCUGAAGAGGCUGCUAUUUAAUUAUUUGUUUUCUUUUUUUUUUUUUU
rnacentral:lncRNA from 10 species